rnacentral:tRNA from 1 species
GCCGAUUUAGCUCAGUGGUAGAGCAGCUGGCUGUUAACCAGUUGGUCACAAGUUCAAAUCUGAAGUGGUUAACA